UCUGCUGAGGAGCUGCUGCCCCUCUGCACAGCCCUCACACAGCAAACAGCCUCUUCUGAGGAUUCAGGCAGCCUGCCUCGGCCUUGAACCUGCAUUACAAACUAGGAAAAACACCAGGCUCGCAUAUCUUUGAAAUCGCAUUGAGUCUCGCAUUGCUCUGUUUCUUCCAACAGUUCCCAUUUGUGUGCUGUGACACUUAAAGCCAUCAGACCCCCGAAGCAGAAGUCUGGGCAAUUACAGAUGGUGCUGGCUGUUCUGAGAGCUGAGCUGUGCACAGGCAGCUCUGUCCCUGCAUGUGCCAUGGUCAGGCAGUGCCAUGUAUGAAGCCCUGGAAUGAGUCUUUCUGGCCAGUGCAGCGUGAUGUGUGCAGGACUCCUACCGUCAGGCAAGAAAACAGAAGCAAGAUAUCAGCAUGUUCAAUGGCUGCAUUCUCCUGAGUGGAGGAAAAGUACCUGGGAAGGCAGUGAGAGGAGAGAUGAGGAGCUGCCUGCCGCAGAGAGAACAGCUGGCUGGAAGAGAACAUAUCAGGACAACUGCCAGCAUACUGAGCGAGAGGUGUUGGGAGUGUUUGUUGUUCACACUCACCAACCUGAUGUGAUUUAUUGUGCUUUUAUUUCAUCUCCCUUCAAAGAUGUUAUGUCUGUUUAAAUACAGUUUUCACUCUGUUGUUCACUACUGGAGAUGCUUCACUCAAGGAGGCCCAGGUAAUAACAAUGCAGCUUCUCCCUGGAAGCCCAAAAUAAUGUUUAAAUGACUUUCUGCAAAGACUGUAAAAAUUGAACACGACCUCUGCUUUGUUAGUCAGUUUGUGGCAGAACAGCAGGAAAGCCUGUCUGAACUUGAGUCCUAUUGCUGUGUUUAGACAGCAGUUUUUUCACAGUAAAGACAUGGCCUUGGAGUCCAUCGUCCCAGAAUAGAAGAGCGUGUCCAAAACACUUCUAAGGUAUUAUUUGUUCAUUAGUCUCUGAUCAUAUUCUAAGGAAGACAAAGCAGUACAUCCUUUUCAAUACAAGGGAAAUAUUUCCUAUUUCCUAAAUUUGGGGGGUAUAAAUUGAUUUUACUUCAGCCAAAUGGGGAGUCCAUCACACUGCAGGGGCCAGCAGAGCAUGGUGGGGUUGUUAAAAACAUAUGUAAGUCUAUGCUAAAUUCACUGAAUUUUACUAGUUUCAACACUGUACUUCAACACAUUCAAAAUGAAACCUUAUUUUUUUUCACAUCAAAAAACCCUUUCCUUUCAAGUCUUACCUGCACUUAUUUUAGUGAAAAUCAGCUUAUCUCCCCAAAAUAAAACAUGUCUUUUGCUAUUGUGUCCA
rnacentral:lncRNA from 1 species